rnacentral:rRNA from 1 species
ACAAGCGGUGGAGUAUGUGGUUUAAUUCGAUGCAACGCGAAGAACCUUACCUGGUCUUGACAUCCCGGAGACCCUUAGGAAACUAGGGGGUGCUUCCAUCUGGAAGAAUCUGGAGACAGGUGCUGCAUGGCUGUCGUCAGCUCGUGUCGUGAGAUGUUGGGUUUAAGUCCCGCAACGAGCGCAACCCUUGCCUUUAGUUGCCAGCAGUUCGGCUGGGCACUCUAAAGGGACUGCCGGUGUUAAACCGGAGGAAGGUGGGGAUGACGUCAAGUCCUCAUGGCCUUUAUGACCAGGGCUACACACGUACUACAAUGGCCGAUACAAAGGGCAGCAACACUGCGAGGUGAAGCCAAUCCCGUAAAAUCGGUCUCAGUCCGGAUUGGAGUCUGCAACUCGACUCCAUGAAGUUGGAAUCGCUAGUAAUCGUGGAUCAGCAUGCCACGGUGAAUACGUUCCCGGGCCUU